rnacentral:rRNA from 1 species
ACCCCACUAUGCCUAGCCUUAAACUUUGAUAGUAAGACCUACUAUCCGCCAGAGAAUUACGAGCGAAAAGCUUAAAACUCAAAAGACUUGACGGUGCCCCAAACCAACCUAGAGGAGCCUGUCCUAUAAUCGAUGACCCGCGCUUUACCCCACCUGCCCUCGCACAAAUCAGCCAGCCUAUAUACCGCCGCCUUCCAGCCUACCUUACAAAAGUAACACAGCAAGCAAAAUAGCCCCUCCGCUAAAACGUCAGGUCAAGGUGUAGCUAAUGGGCAGGAAAGAGAUGGGCUACAUUCUCUACGCACAUAGACCACCACCCCCGGUAUCAUGAAAACAUACCUCAAAGGAGGAUUUAGUAGUAAUUUAGGCAAGACUUCCUAAAUGAAUCCUGCUCUGGGGCGCGUAC